rnacentral:lncRNA from 1 species
GUGUGGCCUGGGAUUUCUGGUGUGGAACAGACGUCCACCUGCGUUUCUGUUUCUGGACAUCAAACAUUGAAGCUCUUUUAUCUGCCAUCAGCUCUUUUCUUCUCUGUUUGUUCUGCAGAGGAAAUCUGAUCAGCUGAUUGUUGACGCCUCCCCCCAUAACCCCCUCGCCUCAUCCCCUCUGGUCCCUCAGACUUCACUCUCUCUAAGGAGCUCAAAGGGAACACAUAAUCAACACAGAGCAGUUUCUUCGCAUCCAAAGCCCACCAGGAUCAAGUUGACGAUGGUGGGCACUGUGGUAAGGUUGAUGGGAAAUGUUUCAGUGUCAAAUCUGACUCGUCCCAAGUUCAUCAUGAAAGAAACAACAAGGAUGAUUUACAGCAAACCUCCAAAGAACAACAUCGGAGCUGGGGUGAGUCUAAAAAACUACUAAUUAGCUAACUAUAACCAGUAACACAACUAGCGCACCAGUUAACUAACUCACUAACCAACUAACUAGCCUACUAACCAAAAGAAGAGGAAAGAAAUGAAUAUAUAUGAACACAUUCAUGUCUGGGAAGGAGUAGUGAAAGAAAAUCCUUAUUUGCUAACCUGCUACUGUUUCCAAAAACAUCUCAGAGUGAAAAAGGGUCAUAUGACAGUUAGCAGCCAGCAUCUGUUUUAAACUCAACUGUCAUCAAACAAGUAAAGACUUCCUGCAAAUUUAAUAUUGACUUUUAUUUAAAAGUCUUGUUAGGAUUUGAUAAAAUGCAGAAUAUAAAACAAAACAAAGAAGAGUUCUGAUUGGUUGUUUAAUUUCAGGGAGAGCUCUGGUUGGUUAUAUAAGAAGAAAAUGAGCUGGGUAGGCUAGAUUGAAAAGAUAAGAGCACUUAUUGGUUAUGAAAUAAGAUAAAUUGAUCUGAUUGGUUACAUAUAUAAAAAAGAGAUCUAAUUUGUUGUUUUUAAUAAAAAGAAGAGCUCUGAUUGAUUAUAUAAUUAAAGCAAGAGCUUUGAUUGCCUAAACAAUCAAUAGAUAAGAAUUUUUUUGUUAUGAUGUAACAGCACUCUCAUUGGUUCAAAGUAAAAUAAAGAGCUCUGAUUGGUUAUACAAUAAAAGCAAGUUCAAGUACUUGGCUGUCUAAUCAAAAUAAAGAGCUUAUAUUAGUUAAAAAAAUAGUUUUGAUUGAUUAUAUGAUUUAAAAAAAGGAGAGUUCUGAUUGGAUGUUCUUUAUGUCUGACAGCAAAGCCUCUUCAUCAUGUCGGUGUUUGCGGUUGCUAUGUUGACCCCCGCUGCGUGGAUUCUUCAUCACCUGCCAGAGUACCGCCAGCGGUACAGACAGAGCCCGAAGACCUGAACGCCUUUAUCUUCUUUAUCCUGGUCAUCACCAUCAUGUUCAUCUUUGUCCAACUCAUCAUCCUGGUCUUUUUCUGUUUCUUCAUCGUCCUUUUCAUCUUCAACACAAACCGAUAGACUUUUUAUUGUCAAACUUUCAGAAUAAUAAAUACUUUGAUAUCUUAAUCUGUUAAUAUAAUCUUGAAUAUUGGUAAAAUUAUUUCAUUUCUUUAAAAAAAAAAAAAACUUCUUUUCGUGUUUUAGUCAAAAUAAAAACAUUUUCAAAAUAAAAAUUGGGAUUAUUAUUUUUUUUCCUAUUUGUAUAUUUAUUUAUUUUGCACCAAAUUACAGAAAAAUACAAAAUACUCACAAUACAUGACAAAUUUGACUGUCAAAAGUUAGCAGGAUGAGAAAGACUUGAAAAGACUGCUUUGUUCAUAGAGGGUGCCAAAUUAAGUUACUUACAGGAGCUUUAAACACAGAAAUGAUGUGGAACCUGAUCAUGGGUGCAGUGAUAAAUGCUUUUUCUACCUGUCUGAUUCUUUCAGGAUAUAUUGAUUUUUGAUUUACUCCUGUGGUACUGAGGGCAUCCACUGCUCCAUCCACCCUUUUAACUUCUAGUAAUAUCCCUAAGACUGACAUAGAUAUACAGAGAUUAAAAUCAAAUGCAGUUAUAAACAAAUGUUUAGAAAUAGCCACAUUGAAACACAAAGAGACUAUUGGAAAUUAGCCAAUCAUGGUUCAGGAUUCCAGGUCAUCCAAUCAGAUCAGAUCUGAUCAAAUAUACACCAACCUGACAGCACCAACACCCGUUAUGUGGACACCAACUCUUUGGCAGCUCUAACACACAUGAAGUUCACCCUCACUGUCUCAUAUAAUUUAAAUCUUAUUGAUAAUCAAACCUCCUGUUCAAAACUUUCCCUACAAAAUAAAAGCCCUGCCUUUGUGUCUUUUAAUUUGUUAAGAAGAUGCUCUUCUUCUGUGGCCCUGCAGUAUAUACAAACAGGAAGUGUUUGUGUUUUUAAAUUAAGCCCCAGUUUGUGUUUGGACAGGAAAUGUUUUUUUUUUAUGUUUGUUUAGUCAGUCCUGCAGGACUUAAUGACUUCCUGUCUGAGAACAUCAGUUCCCACGGAGACAAUGAGGCAUGAGAUGGAGAAAACUGUCAUCUGCGUCACGAUGAUGGAGCUCUGUUCUGUGAUCACUGCAGUUGGUUUGGUUGAACUUGUAACUUUUACAGUGCAUUAUUGAGGUAUUCAACCUUACUGAUUAUUUACUUCAAUGUAUACUCUGCUUCUUCACUGUUGUCUUGAUAAUUUACUUUUUUAUUAGCUCUAUGCUUUAUAACCUGUUUGUUAAAGCGUUACAUAACAGGAAGUAUAAUAAUUUCAGUAGUGGUAAUAAUUCCAAUAAAGUUGGGAUGUUUGUGUAAAACAUGAAUAAUGUCUUA